rnacentral:rRNA from 1 species
AUACGGAAGGUCCGGGCGUUAUCCGGAUUUAUUGGGUUUAAAGGGAGCGCAGGCGGAGAUGCAAGCGUGACGUCAAAUUUCGGGGCUCAACCCCGUCUCGCGUCGCGAACUGCGUCCCUUGGUUGCGGGAAGGGGAGGCGGAACUCGUGGUGUAGCGGUGAAAUGCAUAGAUAUCACGAAGAACUCCGAUCGCGAAGGCAGCCUUCCGGCCCGUCAACGACGCUCAUGCUCGAAGGUGCGGGUAUCAAACAGGAUUAGAUACCCUGGUAGUCCGCACAGUAAACGAUGGACACCCGCGGUUUGGCCUGUAUGGCUGAACCGCCAAGCGAAAGCGUUAAGUGUCCCACCUGGGGAGUACGCCGGCAACGGUGAAACUCAAAUGAAUUGACGGGG